AACCUUUACAAUGCACGCAAGUGUGAUAAGGUAAUCCAAAGUGCUCACAAUUUUUUGUGGGCUUUUGCCAAGUGUAAAAAGCUUGGAGAAUAAGCGGUGGGCAAGACCGGUGCCAGCCGCCGCGGUAACACCGGCGCCGCAAGUGGCGAUCAUCAUUAUUGGGUCUAAAGCAUCCGUAGCAGACUAUGAAAGUCUUCUGUGAAAUCGUUGGGCUUAACUCAACGGCUUGCGGAAGAUACUACAUAGUUAGGGACCGGGAGGAGCUAGGAGUAUUCCUUGGGAAGCGGUAAAAUGCUUUAAUCCUUGGAGGACUACCAGUGGCGAAGGCGCCUAGCUAGAACGGGUCUGACUGUAAGGGAUGAAAGCCAGGGGAGCGAACUGG
rnacentral:rRNA from 1 species